rnacentral:rRNA from 1 species
UACGGAGGGUGCAAGCGUUAUCCGGAUUUACUGGGUUUAAAGGGUGUGUAGGCGGAUUUUUAAGUCAGAGGUGAAAUCCCCGGGCUCAACCCGGGAACUGCGUCCGAUACUGGAAGGCUUGAAUCCGGGAGAGGGAUGCGGAAUUCCAGGUGUAGCGGUGAAAUGCGUAGAUAUCUGGAGGAACACCGGUGGCGAAGGCGGCAUCCUGGACCGGUUUUGACGCUGAGGCGCGAAAGCCAGGGGAGCAAACGGG